AUCUCGCGAGGAGAAUAUUCUUCGAGUUACCGAGGUCUUCCUUUCUUUCUCUCGAAAAAUGUUCAACAUAAUUAAACUUCUCUCAUCCGUGAUUAUACUAUUUGGCUUUUUGCAUAUGACGAGUUAUUCAAGACAGGAACAUUUAUGGUGUUAUGAAUGCAACACGGAUUUAAGACACGGGCGUAAAGGAGAUUGCAAUGAUCCUUAUACGCCUAGUGCAUUUGACCUGAUUGCCUGUCCUCGGAACGAAUCUCAUCAUUGCCACAAAAGUAUCAUAUUGUAUAGAAAUAUUUUAGUAACAGUACGAG